GACGAACGCUGGCGGCGUGCUUAACAAAUGCAAGUCGAACGAAGUGGCGAACGGGUGAGUAACGCGUAAUCAACCUGCCCUUCAGAGGGGGACAACAGGUGGAAACGACUGCUAAUAACGAAUAAUGAAGGAGGGGAUGUGGUCGGAUUAGAGCGUUGGAGGGGUAACGGCCAACCAAGGCGAUGAUAAGUAGCCGGUCUGAGAGGAUGAACGGCCACAUUGGGACUGAGACACGGCCCAGACUCCUACGGGAGGCAGCAGUGGGGAAUCUUCCGCAAUGGACGAAAGUCUGACGGAGCAACGCCGCGUGAGUGAUGACGGCCUUCGGGUUGUAAAGCUCUGUUAAUCGGGACGCGGUACCGGAAUAGAAAGCCACGGCUAACUACGUGCCAGCAGCCGCGGUAAUAC
rnacentral:rRNA from 1 species